UACGAAGGGGGCUAGCGUUGUUCGGAAUCACUGGGCGUAAAGGGCGCGUAGGCGGCCGAUCAAGUCGGGGGUGAAAGCCUGUGGCUCAACCACAGAAUUGCCUUCGAUACUGUUUGGCUUGAGACCGGAAGAGGUUAGUGGAACUGCGAGUGUAGAGGUGAAAUUCGUAGAUAUUCGCAAGAACACCAGUGGCGAAGGCGGCUGACUGGUCCGGUUCUGACGCUGAGGCGGCGAAAAGCGUGGGGAGCAAACAGG
rnacentral:rRNA from 1 species